CAAGCAUACGAAUCUAAUCAACAAUGGAGAAGAAACUGGGUGCCCCUAUCUCUCAAUUUAUGAGCUUUUCAAACUUGCAGUUCUCAUAACAACAGGAAAGCCAAUCGAGGAAGUAAAUUUGCCCGCUGAUCUCGCACACUUUCUACGCUAUUUACAGAGAGCAACCAACAUAGAUAAAAGAUUGAUUACAAACCACUCAGCCACCAGAUUUCCGGAGGAGAGGAUUCAGAGGAACAAGUCAUACAAUUAUCUGUUUCGGACUGAAUUCAAGCACUUUUAUGCAACGCCAGCUGCAGCGCGAAGUUACUACGUGUUUCAGGCAUUGGGGCUAAUCUUCCCCCAGGAGCUGUUAACACCUGCAGGUCUUCAUCCAUUGAUCGAUUAUUGGGCUUCUUACAAUCAAGAGAUGAUCCGUCAGCAGUCUGGAAAUGGAGCCAUCCUGACCCAUCAACGCCCAAUUGUUGUUCCUCGAUUUAAUACUGUUUAUGAACUCGGAAACCGGUUGAUUGCACUCUGUAGGGAUCCCUUUGAACAUCCCUAUGGACCAUUAUAUGCUGAUCCAUCAUAUGCUGAUCUUUAUCCGUACCUUGAGAUGGGUUACAGCAUUUUUCAAAUAGAGCAGCUAAUAAAUCACCUAAUUCCACUGUAUGGGCCUACCGCCGAUGAACAAAUUCUGGUGCACAGUUUGUGGGAUAAUGUGUUCACUGGUCAGCGGCCACUGCCCCCACAUGCUAAUUGGACUGAUAUAAGUGGCGCGCGGAACCGGGCAAGAUGAACGCCGAGAAAAACAAGACUUUGGCAGAUGUUCUUGUUCGCUCAGACACCCCGUAGGAAGGACGAAGGUUUCUCAGAACUGCAGAUGCUGCUCUAUAAUCAGUUAUGAAGUUUUUUUGUGGGGUAAUCAAUUAGGAAGCUGAUGGUGGUAGUUUACUGAACUCUCAUUUUGGGGGAAAUCUGGAGAUGUCUUGGUCUGAUGGAGUUUUGUGAUCAACUUACUGUAUCCCGUUUUGAGGGCAAGUUGUGGAGAUUUUCUAGGCGAUAGGUUCACGGCAGAGCAUUCCAGCAAAUUUGCAAAAUUAAUCAGCAUGUAACGUCCAUCACCGAACGUUUAGUAGCUAGAUGAUACAUUCUUAGGGAAAGAUUGCUGCUUGGACAUGUUUAAUGUUAGGAGAAAGCUUAUGGGAUCUCUGUGUAUGUUAUCCAUGCGGCAUUGGCGGUUUGUUCCACUUCUAAUGUAGUAUUAGUAUUCAUGCGCUGAGUAAUACAGUAUCUACUUUUGUGUUAAUUGAUGGUAUAUUGCUCUUGUA